rnacentral:tRNA from 1 species
CGGAGCGUAGCGCAGCCCGGUAGCGCACCUGAAUGGGGUUCAGGUGGUCGGGGGUUCAAAUCCCCCCGCUCCGAC